rnacentral:ncRNA from 1 species
GACUGCAACAUCCCCGUGGGCGGAGAAGUAGCGCGCUCACUGCAGCC